rnacentral:lncRNA from 1 species
UCGGUUCAUCCAUUUUCUUAAUUUUUUUAGUUCUCAAAUUUUCAUUUAAUAUCUCUCAAAAUUGUGUUGUUUUAAUUUUAUAUUUCGUAAUUUCUUUGUUUUUAAUUGAUUUUUAUAAUGGCAAUUUGCUUAUUCGUUUCGACAAGAUGCACAUAUCCAACAUCCAAUUGCAAAUGGUAAGAAAAUAUUUUCUUUUUAAUUUUAAUUAAGUUCAUUAUUAAGUUGUUAACAUUAUUAAUUUUAUAAUUUUUUAGGUUUAUAUAAUCAGGCCGAAGAUCAGAUUUU